rnacentral:rRNA from 1 species
UACGGGGGGAGCAAGCGUUGUUCGGAUUUACUGGGCGUAAAGGGCGCGUAGGCGGUAGCACAAGUCAGUUGUGAAAUCUCCGGGCUUAACUCGGAAAGGUCAACUGAUACUGUGCGACUAGAGUGCAGAAGGGGCAACUGGAAUUCUCGGUGUAGCGGUGAAAUGCGUAGAUAUCGAGAGGAACACCUGCGGCGAAGGCGGGUUGCUGGGCUGAUACUGACGCUGAGGCGCGAAAGCGUGGGGAGCGAACAGG